GACUAAGAGCGGUUGAAGGUCCCCGGCAACUCGGGCGGAUCACGUACGUGGUAAGAGAGCCUACUAGCCUUACAGUCGAAGUAGCGUUUGCCAGCCGAGCUCCAUCCAUACUCUACAGCUGACAACCUUAUCUUCAGUUUGUGGAGAACAUCCCGGCACCCAGGCGUUUCCGACUCGGUUCUAUAUCGACAGACACUAAGAAAGAAUUUGUUGAAAAAUAAAUUUGACUACCCAUUGAUAUGUUGGUAAAAAUGUUAUAGCGAAGUCGGAUGUAUCCAUUUGAUUGAGCAGCGUUUUAACUUCUUCAAAAUAUUGCGGCGGUCAUGAGGCGUAUUCGGGUUCGACAUUGAGAUGAUUUCAGGACGUUUCAGAACAGCUACCAGACUAUCUAUUGAUCAUGAACUCACACGAAACUUUCCAUGUCCCAACUGUGCGACUACUAGGACCGUUUCGUAUGAACUCAGAGUGGAACACAGCAAACAUAGAACUAGUAACAAGACUUGGGGACAGGGGAGAUUACGACCUCGUCCUCGAGUCAUAUAAGUACAAAUCUAAGUGAUUCUUGAAAAUGACUCCAAAGCAGGAGCCAAAACGUCGAAACAAUGAAAAUUACAGACGCGGUUCAACCCGGACAACAGUAUAUCAAAUUACUGACCGUGGAAACCUAUCCGAACAUAUAUAAGUUUUGGAAGCAAGAGUUGAGCAAUCUGUAAGCUUCAAUCAUUUAGAAUCAAAUAAAACACGUAUGAUUUUAAAAUAAA